AGCACUGGAUUGGGCGGCCCCUCCCUCUCCAGUCAAAAUAUCUCUUCUCUCCCCGUUCCUCUUCUCUGGCCGCCGCCUCCUCUUCCCUCCUUCCUCUCGGCCGCCUCGUCGCCUCCGUCGCCACCACGUCCUCCUCCCCUGCCACCACCCUCUCCAUCCCUGCCUCUCCUCCUCCCCUGCCUCUGCGCACCCGGCAACAUGGCCAGACCGAUGGAUGGGGUAGGCGAAGAGGAGUGGCAGAUCCGCCUCCUCUUGGGCGGUUGUGCUCUUCUUUGUUGAGAACUUGUCGCCUGUUGCACCCGCGUCGCUGCCGUUCUUACGGCGGUGCUGCUGCCGUGGACGGCUUGGCUUAAGGCGAGCAGGGCGGCAUGAUCUUCUUGGUGGGUGUGGAGGAGCAGGGGAGGAUGAGGAGAAUGGCAGGGAGGGAAGGAACAGCGAGGCUGGAGUUCCAGACGGUGCUGGCCAUGGUACCCUGUCCCCAAUCUAGGUUGCCAAUAUGCAGCCUCCUUGAUUUAUGGUUUUUUAAACACACAUGUGCAGACCUGAGGAAAAAUAGAAGAGGGUGAAUCUUGAUGAAAAGUUUGAACAAAGUGAUCUCCCCCUCUCUCUUGAACACUACUAUCACGUUCAUAUGUUCUGCAUAAGGCUAUCUUAUUCGGUGCGCAAGAGAGUAUUUAUAGUUAGAAUAUUACAUUCUUCAUGUCUCAUAUAAAAUCUUCUUCUUUGAACAAUGUUCUUUAAUUUCUAAAUUUGUUGCAGGUUCGAAGAUAUAGAUCUAAUUGAUAUAUUGCUGAUGGGGAUUAAGUACUGUAAUGAUAUACCUGAGAAUUUUGAUGAUAUAUCUGCUACCAAGUUGAAUAUUGACCACAAAUUAAUUUUUGUGUGUGCUUCUGCUCAUUUAAGUGCAUAAUUUGGUCACAAACCUCCUGCUGUAGCUACAAAGUUCAUUGUGUGAUGCCUACAAGUUAUUGGUCUUAUUUUUGGUGUAAAGCUGCGGGCCAAGUUCAGAUUGUUCUUUUGACGAAAAUGGAACAGGUAAUGCUACAGCCUAAGCAUUGUAUAGUAUAAAUUUCAUAAAAGGUCAUGUAAUAUUUUACUUAGCUUCAUUCAAAUAUCUGGAAUUGACAUGCAUAUGUUUCUUGUAUGUGCACACAUUUUUGGUUGUAUCUUAAUAUGAGUUCUUUAUGUUGCUUGCCUAAAUUCAGAAGUGAACUUUUGCUGUAUAUUUGGUCGAUGUGUGUCCUGUAAACCGUAAACUUACUAGGUGUACAUGUACAUGUGUAUUUGUUACACUAUUAUCAUAUACAACACUUCCAGAUCAGAAGAUACAGAUAUCUCCUUUUUACAUAAAUAAUUGUGAUUGUUCUCAUACAAUUUGGCAUUUCAAGAAUAUCGCAGCCACACAAGCUAAAGGUUCAGGAAGUUUAGGGAAAGAAAAGUUCUUAUUCACAAAGAUGGUGGUAUGGAUAAGUCCCUAUUCUCAUUGUCACUGGUACUUCAUUUUUCUUAUAUUUUGAUGCUUAUUUUUUUGUAUGAAGGUGAGUUUUAUCUGGUAUCACUUUUUGACAUGGACAUGUACCAUAUGAUUGUUGAGUUUCAUCUGAUUUCACUUUUUGACAUGACCAUAUACCAUGGGGUAUAGUAUUUAUGAAGAGUGGCUUGGAAAUUGCAAGUAGAUGGUUACUCUAGCCGUAUAGCUUAUUUAAUUAGGAGUGAGAUGCUUGCUAAGAUGAAUGGUGUUUCUGUACGGGCAGACAUAUUCCUAGCACUUGAUUAUGCACAUGUAUAUAUGGAUACUUCUGUACGAAUGCAGCUCACACUUACCACGAUCAGAAGAGUCUUGCAUGGAUCUAUCAUGUGAUGUGACACUGGAAUAAUUGGCCUGGAGUUCACCGGCGUGACCGAGCGCAGUGCAACGGAGCAGUUCAACACGUGUUUGCACAUGACUGCCAUGGAAGAGGAUCUUGCUGGAACGCUGCCGUUUCUUCAGUUUGGGAUUUUGUCAACAAUUCUAUAACCUUGAUUGCGCUGAACAUAAGUGGGAUCUACACAUUAUUCUGCUGACUUUGCUCACAUGAGUUCUUCCCCAUUUUCCUCUUUGAUGCCUUUUCUUCUGAAUGGAAAGACUUAUCUUCUUUAAAGUUCAUCAUGGUUUUGGUGUUAGUAUGACUGGUUUAUGGUUUAUAAUUUUUAUGCUCUCAACCAAAUGUGUGUGCUAUGAUAAUUAAGGUUACUAAGAUGAAUGGUGUUUCUAUAGGGCCGGACAUAUUUCUUAUCGUCAUAAAUCAGUGAUGCACAGAUUAUCUUAGCUAUAUUGUGAAUCUUGAUAACCCCACGAUGAACAAAUUUUGCGGCCUGUAUUUGGGUUUAUUCAAAUUGUUGCGAAAUAUGUUCUUCCAGGAAAAGUCACUACAUCAUAUGUCCUAGAUAAAUAUUUAUUGAACAUUUAGUUUUCCUUAUACAUGCUUAUCGUGUGGCAUAAUGUUAUUUUGUGAGCUUAAUUCUACCCUGAAUAUACAAAUAAUUAGUUUGUUUAUUUUUUUUGCUGUCAUAAUAAGACCCUGAAACCAUCUUCCAUCGAACACAUAUAUGAGUAUCUAUAUUAUGUACAAGGUGCAGAUAGAUAUAUUUGCUGACCAAGCAAUUCCCCUCUUUUGAGACAAAGACCAAUAUAUGAUUACCCAUUCCCCGGUUUCCUUUCUAUUUUUUAUUUCAAUAUAACAUAAUGAGCUAUUCAUUGUUUUAUAAUUUCAGUGUAAUCUAAAAUCCGACUGCGAACAUAGAUGCAUUUAUUCACAAAUUAGCAAGCACCUGAGUGAAGAACGCUUAAAAUGCAUGGAAAAUGCAAUUACCACCAGCAAAUAAAUUGGCAUUUGUAUUCCAGGUAACAGUCCCGAAAAGAAGAGGACUAUGUAUUCUGCGUCUAAUCAUUAGGCAGCAAUGUCUCGACUACUUUCCACUAAAUAGUGAUAAGUUGGUUGUUCUUUUGUGUCUAUUUGCGCAACUAUGUCAUGGUGCCAAUGAAGUCAAAUGUAUAUAAUGCUUGGCGAUGCCAGACACUAGCCCGGCUUGGGCAAGGGCGCAACUCCUGACGACCACGGGUGGGUGGACAAUGGAGGCUGUCGACCAUCAGCAGGUACGAGUUCAAGUUGUCAUUGUAGGCUCCUCAAUUUUUAAUCUCCUGCUUGUGCUGAGGAUAUCUCGAUUUCUUGAUUCUAUCUCAGGAAAACAACCCCAACCUUAAAAUUAUAAUGGCAUCCCACAACUUUCCUGAAUCAUGUUGUAUGCAAGGACUCUCUUAAAUACUACUCCCUCUGAAUUACAUACACAGACCUUCUGGAUGGUUGGCUUGGUUGUCCGGAUCAACUUUAUGUGGGGAAACCAUAUUCCAACCGUAAAAUUGAUAAAAUGGAAGUAGCAAGUCAACCUGAACAGCACUGAUCCAAAGGAAUUGUACUACAUACAAGGUGUCUCUGGACAUCAUUUUAAAGAUAGUGUUUCCUUGUGAGAGCAACAUUCUUUUUGUUUCAUGGUUCAAUAGAGGUCUCAUAGUGAACUACAACACUAGGUUGCAGUAUAAUGUCAGCUGAUUGCAACAUCCUGAGUUACUUUAGAAGUUUUCAUCUGAAAACUUGAUUUUCUUUUGACAUUCAUUGCACAUGUAUUCUGAUUUGUUCACAAGGAAGCUCACAAAUUUGUGUCCAUCUUUUUCGUAGUAAUCAUAUGGCUUGCAUAUUUUAUCAGACUGAUCAUAGUCACGAAGAUCAGACUGAUAAUAUUUGGUAGAGAAGAUCAGAAGAAACAUUUAUAUCAUAUUUUUGUAUGCUUUUUCUGUAGAAAAGGUACCAUGGGUUGAUUGUGUUGGAUCCCAUUACUAUAUCAUGUAUUUGACUGCUAUUCCUAAGAACUGCUCCUGGACACAGCGCUCUAUGUUGACAUGUCUUACAUUUUAUUGUGUCGCCUAUCUGUAUAGUUACUCGGAUCUUACCUUUUUGUAUUUUUGUCGAUGCGUGUGUUCUUCCUACUAUAAAGCAACAUGAAUUUCUUUAAAUUAAAUUGUGCAUAUUGAGGAAAAUAAAUCUUGUGUGUCUAUAGUCAUGUUCAUGUAUGUUCUGAACUAAGACAAAUAUUCUUCAUUGUCUAUGCCUUUUGCUCCUGUUAACGAUGAUAGUGCAACUCUCCAUUUUAUUAAUUCCUUACCCAUUCACUUGAAAUAUUGCCUAAAUAUUAUUAUUUUUGUAGUUGGUUUAGCAGCCUGACUUAGAUCUUCUACAUUGCCCAUAGAGAAUCUUCAAAAGUGUAGUCAUAUAUGUCACUUGAUAAAUUCUAGGACAUUAAUCUAUAGUAAUCC